GGAACAACUACAAGGUUCCUCUUCUCUUUCGAUUGCUCGUCCCGCUCUCAACCACUCUCUCACGCGGUAUCCCUCUUAAGCUCGUGGUUUCUCGUCCUCUCUCGGUUGGAACAACAACGAACUAUGAUUCACCUCACUGAGCUAUGACAACAAUGGCGGCCAUGGAAGAAUCUUGAAGAACCCGGGUACGAUUCUUUACAAAUUUCGUUUUUUUGUUCUUUUUAAUGAUAACUCAGUGACAUCUCUCUCUUUCUAUUUCGAAUUUUACCCGCGGUGAACAGCAACAACAGCUCACACUCUCGGUUUCUCACGGUGGAGGACUCUCUCUCUCUCUCUCUCUCAGUGAAUGAUUUUCGGCCAUGGGAGAAGAACCAGAGGAGAAAUCUAGGGAACUAUGUUUACAGCAGCAAUAAUAUUUUGAGAGUAAGAGUGGAAUUGACUUACCUACGGUGAGGAGAUUUUCACCGGUUAUUGUUGAGGUUGAUGAAGAUGAUGAGCGAACAAUUCGUAAACACGGGGCUGCAACUGGAGGCUUUUGAUGAAGGUGAUGCCACAACACCUCUUUGGACUUAUGGGAGCGCCUUGAAGAUGGAACUUCAAGUUGUUGGAAGCUUGAAGAUGAAGAUCUUCAAGAAAGGUAUGAAGAACUACCUUUUCCUUCUUCCUUACUUUGUAACUAGAAUGCUCACCUCCAAUAUAGAAUCUCUUGGCUUGAGAAUUUCUUCUUGCCAAGAGGUCUAUUGAACAAUAUAUGAGCAAUAGAGAGAAGAGAGAAAGCAAGAAUUUAAGUUGCUUUGGUGUGACAAAUACUAUGGAGAGCCCUUCUAUUUAUAGGCAAAAAUUAGGAUAUGUUAGGUAUUAUGUAACUUUGUAGUCAAGUUUGUGAUUCUUGUAAGAAAGGAAUAUCCAAAAUGACAUAAGCCAAAGAUUCCUCUAUGACAUAAGCCAAAAGAUUCCUUUAUGACAUAAGCCA